GAGAGAUUAUUGCACUUUAUUUAAACAGAAUCUUGUCUCCAGAGAGGAUUAAUAAUCUAACAGAUUCUGCUAAUUCUACGAUUAUGAGACUUGGUUAGAUGGACGCAGAGUUUUUAAUCUAGACCACCAGAGAAAAGACCUGAUAGCCUGGUCUGUUGACGAUUCGAGUCGAGUUUCUCCAGGUCCUGCGCUGACAGGAACCCUUUGGUCUGUGGAUGUUUUCAAGAUGGCAGAAUUCCUCUGGGUUCUGGACCGGUCCUGGACUUUAAUGUGGUUCAGAAACAGUGCCAGUCCGGGUUCUGGUGGGCGUCUCUUUGCAGACCUCAGAACCUGUUAGAAAGCAAACCAGUCUCCCUCUGUUUGUCCUGGUUAGGGUUAGGUUAAGGUCAACCCUUGGACCUGGAAGUGGAGCCAGAACGUGUCUUCAGCAGAACUUUUCCUGAUGUUCUGACAGGAUUUCUUCCAGAAGGUUUUAUUGGAAUCUCAGUCUGGCUCUGGAUGUUAUUUAUAAAAUCCUCUCCAACGUCACACCAGUAAAACCCAAACCAGUCCAGCUGUCCAACACUCCCAGUCUGAGCUGAGUCCAGCUGUCCAACACUCCCAGUCUGAGCUGAGUCCAGCUGUCCAACACUCCCAGUCUGAGCUGGGAGCUCCUGGUGCUCCUCCUCCUCCCCCUCCUCCCUCCCCUUGUCUCCUCUCAGAGGCGAUGAGCAGCCGGACUGAGAGGAGGAUGUUGUCAUCUCAUUCUGCUACCUUUGUAUCCACCUCCUCAAGCCACCCUCCACCUCACCCAGUGACCUCUGACUCCCGAAAAGUUACCAUGGAAACCUACUGGAGAGAGGUCCAGAGCAUCGAAGAGGAGCAGGAGGGGGAAGAAGAGGAGGAAGAAGAGGAGGAGAGUAAAAGUUUAGAUGAGGUGGAGUUGGAGGAGGCGUGGCUGACGGAGGCGGGGUUAUCCUCGCUGCUCGUAGACUCUGCAUCCACAGAGGCUCCACCUGUGGCGGAGGCCGUGCUGUCCACGUUGACGCGGCAACAAGCCGCCACGGUCAAAAAGAGGCUGGACAACUACAAUGAGACACUGAGGAAAAGAAACAGGCAGCCAAUCAGAGACGUGCGUGAUGUCUUCACAGAGCCUGAUGGGGACGCCGCAGUCCACUGCAGCCCGUUCCCAACCCAACGUCAUCCGGAGUCACCGCCAAGGAGGUACCACACCACCACCAAGACCAUCCGCCGCAGCACUAACAGAGGACGGUCCACUCUUCCCCUGUCUACAUUUGAGGACCAGCUACCUGAAGACCCGUCAUCCCCCGCACUCACCCCCUCCCCCUCCACUCCAAGCACCUUCCCUUCAGAGGCGGGACGGCUGAGGUGUGCUGACUGGUUACUGAGGGACACUCCUUACUCUGAAGGCGUAGCUGAGCACAAACAGGGCGGGACUUGUAAGGAUUGUGCUUGUUUCCAUGGAGAUGAGAACAGUGAACUGCAGUUCGCUCCAGUCUCUCCGUCAUACGGUCUCACCUGUUCAGAUGACCUGUCAACCCGUGACCUCACCAGGCUAGGCUUCAUCUCUCGCAUCGAACUCUCCACCUUCCUGGCGGCUAUGGGAGUCCAAAUAAAGCGCACCCGGCCACCACACAGAAGAACUCGGGACAGCGGCGUGUUCGGUGUCUCUCUGAACUCUCUGUUGGACAACGACAGGAAGACGUUUCCUGGAGUCAAAGUUCCUGUCUUCUUCCAGAAGUUGCUGGGCGUCUUGGAGCAGAGCGCUCUGCAGACGGAAGGAAUCCUUCGGGUCCCAGGAUCCGCUGCCAAACUGAAGUACCUGCGCAGGGAGCUGGACAGGUGCUGGAGCAUCUUUGACUGGUCUGAAGUUCGCCCGGUGGACGCCUCCGGACUGCUGAAGCUCUUCAUCAGGGAGCUGCCGACGCCCCUGCUGACCAACGCGCACCUGUCCACGUUCUGCUCCCUGCUGGCCGUGUCCUCUGAGGUCCAUCAGGUCCAGGCUCUGCAGCUGCUUCUGCUGCUUCUUCCUGAAGCCCACAGAAACACCCUCAAGGCCCUGCUGGUCUUCCUUCGUAAGGUGGUCUCCCAUCAGGACCACAACCGAAUGUCUCUGUGGAAUGUCUCCAUGGUGAUGGCGCCCAAUAUAUUCACUCGCCGUAACCGUGGAAAUAAACGCUCCAUUAGCAAGCAGCGGGGUGAGAUGGAGGAGGCGGUGGGCGGAGCUCACCUGAUCGGACUCAUGAUCCGCCACCAAGACCUGCUGUGGACCGUCCCAAAGUUUCUUCUGUCCCAGGUGAGACAGAUGAACCAGGCGUCCAAUCACAGACAGUUUAACCUGAGCAGGGCGACGUCCCGCCUCCUGAGGAGGAGGAACGAGAAGAACGACAGGAACCAGGUCGGCGAGCUGUGCGAAGGCGUCAUCAGGGUCCACGCUCCCCUGCACGCCAAGGUUUCCAUGGCGAUACAGCUAGACGAACAAACCACGGCCAAAGACGUGACGAGCCGCUUCGAGUCCCGGACCAGGUGAGGACGGCGUCCAUCGGGUGAGGACGCCUCCGUCCCUGCCGACCUCACUUCCUGUCUCUCUGUCCGCAGCCCCGCCCAGCAUCUCUACGAGGUCGGAGGGAACAUCUAUGAGCGCCGCCUGCAGCCGGACUGCUGCCUGCUGGACGUGUACCGAGAAAACCCGUGCUGCGAUUGGCUGAUCAAACCCUGACCACCGACUGAACUCACCUGUACCUGCUGAGUGUCCAAUAAAAGCCUGAACACGGCGCCGUGUCUCCGCCUGCUGGUCACUGUCGGUUCCUGCAGGGUAGAGCCAGUGAAGCCUGGCAGACAGAGCUGAGGGCAGCAGGAAGCAUCACACCCAGUUAGGAAAACAUUAAAACCUUUAUUUCAUCACGUCUCAUUUCUGAUGACAUCAUCACCCGCCGCUCUGCUCAUGAAACUGAGCCCAGCGGAAAUCCGUCUAAAUAUGGGCGUUCCUGUCCGUUCAGACCGAAGCUACAGGGAUCCUCGGGUCACCCGGAGGUC